AUUCUUUUUAUACAAAAAGGCUGCCAUGGAUCAAGGAGAACAUUUGGAAGAUUGUCAGCCUAAAGGGGAUGCUGUUAGUAGGAGGGAUUCACCUCGUUCUAGCUUGAAAGGGUCCUUCGGAAGGAUUUGAUAAAUAGCUAGAAAUGCCAAAUUCCUCACUAAGAUGGCUGCUGAAUGCUUUGAAGAACUCUUUUAUAUACUAUGUAGAACAACAAUGUAUCCGAUUACAGACAAGGGAAGGAGGCUGACACAAAAGAAGACUGGCAACAUGCAAUUCUCA